CGACCCCAAGUCAGCGGAAUUACCACCGAGUUUAAGCAUAUCAAUAAGCGGAGGAAAAGAAACUUACCAGAUUCCCUAGUAAUGGCAAGCGAAACCGAAAAGCCCGACUUGAGAAUCGAGCGCCACUAGUGUUCGAAUUAUAGUCGGAGAAGCGCCCCGGCGGAUAGGGCCCAAGUCCCCGGAAAGGGGCGCCGGAGAGGUGAGAGCCCCGUCGUGCGGACCUUGUCGCACCACGAGGUACCGUUCACUGAGUCGGGUUGUUUGAGAAUACAGCCCUAAUCGGGCGGUAAAUUUCAUCUAAGGCUAAAUACGGGCGAGAGACUGAUAGCGAACAAGUACCGCGAGGGAAAAAUGAAAAGGACUUUGAAAAGAGAGUCAAAAAGUACUUGAAAUUGUCGGGAGGGAAGCGGCUGGGGGCCGGCGAUGCGCCCCGGUCGGAUGUGAAAUGGCGAGAGCCGAUCUGCCGAUUGACUCGGGCCGUGGAUCGACGUGGGUUGUGGCUGUGGCCCAAGCCCGGGCCUUUGAUACGCCUGUGGAGACAUUGUCGCCUCAAUCGUGGGAUCCAGCACGCGCUGUCUCGGCAUGCUUCGGCACCUGUGUUCUCCGGGUGUCGACCUGGGGGCUCCCCAUUCGGCCCGUCUUGAAACACGGACCAAGGAGUCUGACAUGUGUGCGAGUUAACGGGCUAGAAAACCCGUAAGGCGCAAGGACGCUGAUUGGCGGGAUCCCUCACGGGUGCACUGUCGACCGAUUUUGAUCUUCCGAGAAGGGUUGAGUGAGAGCAUGCUGUCGGGACCCGAAAGAUGGUAAACUAUACCGCGAGGGUGAAGCGGAGGAAACUCGGUGGAGGCCCACAACGAUCUUGACGUGCAAAUCGUUCGUCGACUUGGGUAUAGGGCGAAAGACUAAUCGAACCGUCUAGUAGUCGGUUCCUCCAAGUUUCCUCGGGAUAUUUGGAGCCCUUAGCGAGUUCUAUCGGGUAAAGCCAAUGAUUAGAGGCAUCGGGCGCAAUGCCUCGACCUAUUCUCAAACUUUAUAUAGGUAGGACGGUGCGGCCGCUUCGUUGAGCCGGUCACUAAUCGAGAGCUCCAAGUGGGCCAUUUUGGUAAGUAGAAUUGGUGAUGCAGGAUGAACCGAAAGCUGGGUUACGAUUGCUCAAUCUGGCGCUAACCUAUAACCCACAAAGGAUGUUGGUCGAUUAAGACAGCAGGACGGUGGUCAUGGAAGUCGAAAAUUCGCUAAAGAGUGUGUAACAACUUACCUGCCAAAUCAGCUACCCUUGAAAAUGGAUGGCGCUUAAGCGCGCGACCUAUACCUGGCUGUCAGGGCAAGAGCCAGACCCCGAAGAGUAGGAGGGCGCGGCGGUCUCUGCAAAACCCGGAGCGCGAGCUCGGGCAGAGUGGCCGUCGGUGUAGAUCUUGGUGGUAGUAGCAAAUAUUCAAAUGAGAACUUUGAAGGCCGAAGAGGAGAAAGGCUCCAUGUGAACGCCACUUGCACAUGGGUUAGUCGAUCCUAAGAGACGGGAAGCCGUCCGAUAGCUGCUCAUGAGCUCGAAAGAGAAUUAGGUUAAAAUUCACGAACCGGACGCGACGGCUAACAGCAACGUUAGGGAGUCUGAGAGACGUCAUGGGGCCUCGGGAAGAGUUAUCUUUUCUGCUUAACGGCCGCCCACCUUGAAACGGCUCACCGGAGGUAGGGUCCAGUGAUCGGAAGAGCACCGCACUCACGUGGUGUCCCAGACGCCUCAGCAGCCCUUGAAAAUCAGGAUCGAGUGUCGUCUCGCUGGUCGUACUCAUAGCCGCAUCAGUCUCAAGGUGAACAACCUCGGUCAAUGGAAUAAUGUAGGCAAGGGAAGUCACAAAAUGGAUCCGUAACCUCGGGAAAAGGAUUAGCUCGAGGGUUGAGCACAGGGGUGCCGCCCCGAACCCGUCACCGCCGGCCUUCGCUCGAAUCGCUUAGUGGUUGAGGCGGGUCGCCGAAAGUGCCACGGGAUGGAUGGAACGGCUCCUUCGGGGCCUUCUUCAGGCGAUUUAACAAUCGACUUCGUAAAUGGUACGGACAUGGGGAAUCGAUUGUUUAAUUAAAACAAAGCAUUACGAUGGUCCUGCGGAUGCUCACGCAAUGUGAUUUACGCCAAUGCUCAAUGUCAAAGUGAAGAAAUUCAACCAAGCGUGGGUAAACGGCGGAGUAACUAUGACUCUCUUAAGGUAGCCAAAUGCCUCGUCAUCUAAUUAGUGACGCACAUGAAUGGAUUAACGAGAUUCCUACCGUCCCUUUCUACUAUCCAACGAAACUAUAGCCAAGGAACGGGCUUGGCGUAAUCAGCAGGAAAGAAGACCUGUUGAGCUUGACACUAGUCCGACUUUGUGAAAUGACUUGAAAGGUGUAGGAUAAGUGGGAGCUUUGGUAAAUUGAAAUACCACUACUUUUAACGUUAUUUUACUUAUUCCAGAAUCGGAGGCGGCAUGACCCUCUUUUUGGACCCAAGGUCGACUUCGGUACGGUGAUCCGAGCGUAAGACAUUGUCGGUAGGGAGUUUGGUGGCGGCACAUCCGUUAAAAGAUAACGCAGUGUCCUAAGAUGAGCUCAACGAGAAGUAAAUCUCGUGUGGAACAAAGGGUAAAAGCUCGUUUGAUUUCGAUUUCCAGAUGAAUACGAAUCGUGAAAGCGUAGCCUAUCGAUCCUUUAGACAUUGAAUUUGAAGCUAGAGGUUUCGUAAAAUUUACCACAGGAUAAGCGGCUUGUGGGCGAUAGCGCUCAUAGCGAUGUUGUUUUUUAUCCUUCGAUGUUGGCUCUUCCUAUCAUUGUGAAGCGUAAUUCACCAAGUGUUGGAUUGUUCACCCACCAAUAGGGAACGUGAGUGGGUUUAGACCGUCGUGACACAAAGUUAGUUUUACCCUCUUGAUGGUCGCGACGCAAUAGUAAUUCAACCUAGUACAAGAGGAACCUUUGAUUCGCACAAUUGGCCAUCGCGCUUGGUUGAAAAGCCGAUGUGGCACGGUUACCGUCUUGUUGGAUUAUGGUGAACGCCUCUAAGUCGAAUCGGGCUAGAAGCGACGACGCACCUGCCGCCCGAUUGUCGACCCUCGGUGGGGCCUUUGCCCCCCAAGGGCACGUCGUCGAGGUGCAAUGACACCGCUGGCGGACAAGUCGCGGCGCCUCCUUGGAGCGCAAUUCCCAUCGAGCGGCUGGUAGAUUCCUUUGCAGAUUACUUAAAUGCGCAACAGGGUAUUGUAACUGGCAGAGUGGCCUUGCUGCCACGAUCCACUGAGAUUCAGCCCUUUGUCGCUUCGAUUCGU